UAGCCGUAAACGAUACUCGCUAGGUGUCGGCCACGGUGCGACCGUUGUCGGUGCCGUAGGGAAGCCGUGAAGCGAGCCACCUGGGAAGUACGGCCGCAAGGCUGAAACUUAAAGGAAUUGGCGGGGAGCACCACAACGGGUGGAGCUUGCGGUUUAAUUUGGAUUCAACGCCGGAAAUCUUACCGGGACCGGACAGCAACAUGAAGGCCAGGCUGAAGACUUUGCCGGAUUAGCUGAGAGGUGGUGCAUGGCGUAGACGUCU
rnacentral:rRNA from 1 species